rnacentral:rRNA from 1 species
AUUGAACGCUGGCGGCAUGCUUUACACAUGCAAGUCGAACGGCAGCGCGGGCUUCGGCCUGGCGGCGAGUGGCGAACGGGUGAGUAAUGCAUCGGAACGUGCCCAGUAGUGGGGGAUAGCCCGGCGAAAGCCGGAUUAAUACCGCAUACGACCUGAGGGUGAAAGCGGGGGACCGAAAGGCCUCGCGCUAUUGGAGCGGCCGAUGUCGGAUUAGCUAGUUGGUGGGGUAAAGGCUUACCAAGGCGACGAUCCGUAGCUGGUCUGAGAGGAGGACCAGCCACACGGGGAGUGGGACCCGGGCCGGAAGAGUACGGGAGGACGCAGUGGGGAAUAGUGGAAAAUGGGCGAAAGCAUGAUCCAGCAAUGCCGGGUGAGUGAGGAAGGCCUUAGGGUUGUAAAGCUCUUUUAACCGGGAUGAUAAUGACAGUACCGGGAGAAUAAGCUCCGGCUAACUCCGUG